rnacentral:lncRNA from 1 species
AAAAACAAAAAGAAGAAAGGGAAAAACAUAAGGCUGAGCAAGUAUAACUCAAAAUGAAUGAGACCUAACUGGGAAGGUUUGGUGUAAGAGGAAAAGCACCAUUCCUACUUUCACUGUUCUCAAGAGCAAACACAUAGGAUUAGCAUUGUUUGGGUUUGUUUGUUUGUUUUCACAGACUCUUGAGAAAAAGCUUUAAUUUACAGGCUCCACAAGAUCUGACUAAAGCAACAGCCCAUUCUCAAUUUGGGCAUAUGCUUAAUUUAUAGCAGAAGCUGCUUGAUGCACUCCAGUAAAACUUCAGACUUCUCAUAAAAUCCCUCACAUAUCUAGAGUCUCUGUUCUGUAGUGAGGACACUGACUCAGCAAAUAAGUUUAAAGAUAUGCUUAUUUUAAACUCAUGGGCAGGUUAAGAGAAGUCAACAAACCUUCUCUAGAAGUUAAGCAUUUUGGUUUAGUUAUUACAUUGGAUUAAGACAAGCAUCUGCAAUGCCUUCAUAACACAGACUGAUUCUUUACAACAGCACAGCACCUGGAAGAGUAAGGCAGCCUGCCUGGUUCUGUGUGACCAACAGGACAGACAGCCACCACCACUGCAUUCCUGCCCUUAUUAUCCAAAGCAGACGAGGCACACCUCGUUGCAGAAGUUUAACCAUGCAAGAAGCACAACACUGAGACGCAGAGAAAUCCAUGCUCCAGGAAACAGGGCCCAGAUCUAAACCCAGGGAAUCACGACCGUUAAACUUAGCUUGGAUGUAGUGAGAGAACAUGUUAUCCUUCCACUAUACCGAUAGUAUUUCCACAUCUGAGGCUGGUGAACAACUCCACUCAGAGCACAGGAAGCCAACACCAAUGUUAUUUGAAAUGCUUUAACUUAGACUUCAAGAUCAUACAUAUCUCAUAGGAAAGAAUGUGUCUGUGAUGAAUAAUCUAAAGACAUAUUUGUCUGUUUACAACAUGGAAAAUUGCUUUUCUUGCUUAAACAACAGAAAAAGUCAGAUCAAGUAAUACGAGCAUUUUGUGCGCAUCAGAAAACAGUAGUGCUUAAUAACAGAGGGAUGGGACAGCCACAGGCAUAACACCUGACAAUCUUGUACCCUUGGGGAGUCUUAAUUCACUUUAAUUAUAUAUGCGUCCACGGGAAGGACACACAAGGAAUUAUUUCAGUAGUACCUAUAUUCAGCUAAAGUCGCAUUAAAUUCAUCCUUCCCCCUACUCCGUAUGAGCAUCCCCUUCUUGCUGAUUACCUUGCAAAACCCUAGUUUCUUCUCCCCCUGGCCGUGCUGAAUGUAGCUCCUUGCAUUUUCUUCUCCGAAAUCUAGUUUGCUGUAGUCUAGCAUCCUGCUGGCCUUGGUUUCCUGCUGCAUCAGUCUCCUCCACAGGGACAUGGGAAUGCCCUAAGUUGUUCUGAUGAGCCAUUUUGGUGUGUUCCACCUAAAGCUAACAGUGAAAUUACACUGAAAACACAGAACUAGCCAGGAACUCUUACAAGGCAGCAGGAAACAGACUUCAAGAGCUACAAAAGCCAGAUUUAUUCCAUAUCUGGCAUGAUAAAGGAAGCCAUAAUUGUAAGUCAACACCAGCAGCCCUUUCCAAGUAUAGCAGUAACUUACCUUGCUUUCUAGCCUUAACUCUUUGGGAAAGAACCUUCUUUACUUAUUCUUAGAUAGAAAAAAAAGAUAACCUCACUGACUUAGGGAGACAAAGGAGACAGGGGCU